rnacentral:rRNA from 1 species
AAUGAAAGCUAGCGGUAUGCCUAAUACAUGCAAGUCGUACGGAAAUUUAGCCUUCGGGCGAAGAUUUUAGUGGCGAACGGGUGCGUAACACGUGAGAAUCUGCCUUUAGGAAGAGGAUAACUACUAGAAGUAGUAGCUAAUACUUUAUAUGCCUAACGGUGAAAGAAGCAAUUCGCCUAAAGAGGAGCUCGCGUCUGAUUAGCUAGUUGGUAGGGUAAGAGCCUACCAAGGCGACGAUCAGUAGCUGGUUUGAGAGGAUGAUCAGCCACAUUGGAACUGAGACACGGUCCAGACUCCUACGGGAGGCAGCAGUAAGGAAUAUUCUACAAUGGGCGAAAGCCUGAUAGAGCAAUACCGCGUGAGGGAUGACUGCCUACGGGUUGUAAACCUCUUUUCUCAAGGAGGAAGAACUGACGUUACUUGAGGAAUAAGCAUCGGCUAACCCUGUGCCAGCAGCCGCGGUAAUACAGGGGAUGCAAGUUUUAUUCGGAAUUAUUGGGCGUAAAGCGUCUGCAGGUUGACAUAAAAGUCUUUUGUUAAAUAUCAGAGCUCAACUCGGAAUCUGCAAAAGAUACUAUAUGUCUUGAGUAUGGUAGAGGUAAGGGGAAUUUCCAGUGGAGCGGUGAAAUGCGUAGAUAUUGGAAAGAACACCGAUAGCGAAGGCACCUUACUGGGCCAUUACUGACACUCAGAGACGAAAGCUAGGGGAGCAAACGGGAUUAGAUACCCCGGUAGUCCUAGCCGUAAACGAUGGAUACUAGAUGUUGUAUACUUUAUUGUAAACAGUGUCGUAGCUAACGCGUUAAGUAUCCCGCCUGGGGAGUACGCUCGCAAGGGUGAAACUCAAAGGAAUUGACGGGGGCCCGCACAAGCGGUGGAGCAUGUGGUUUAAUUCGAUGCAACGCGAAGAACCUUACCAGGACUUGACAUGAAGAGAAGUUUUUUGAA